rnacentral:rRNA from 1 species
AGGGGGAUAACUACUGGAAACGGUAGCUAAUACCGCAUAAUGUCUUCGGACCAAAGUGGGGGACCUUCGGGCCUCACACCAUCGGAUGUGCCCAGAUGGGAUUAGCUAGUAGGUGGGGUAAUGGCUCACCUAGGCGACGAUCCCUAGCUGGUCUGAGAGGAUGACCAGCCACACUGGAACUGAGACACGGUCCAGACUCCUACGGGAGGCAGCAGUGGGGAAUAUUGCACAAUGGGCGCAAGCCUGAUGCAGCCAUGCCGCGUGUGUGAAGAAGGCCUUCGGGUUGUAAAGCACUUUCAGCGAGGAGGAAGGGUUCGGUGUUAAUAGCACCGUUCAUUGACGUUACUCGCAGAAGAAGCACCGGCUAACUCCGUGCCAGCAGCCGCGGUAAUACGGAGGGUGCAAGCGUUAAUCGGAAUUACUGGGCGUAAAGCGCACGCAGGCGGUUUGUUAAGUCAGAUGUGAAAUCCCCGAGCUUAACUUGGGAACUGCAUUUGAAACUGGCAAGCUAGAGUCUUGUAGAGGGGGGUAGAAUUCCAGGUGUAGCGGUGAAAUGCGUA